GAGUUUGAUCCUGGCUCAGAUUGAACGCUGGCGGCAUGCCUUACACAUGCAAGUCGAACGGCAGCAUGAUCUAGCUUGCUAGAUUGAUGGCGAGUGGCGAACGGGUGAGUAAUACAUCGGAACGUGCCCUGUAGUGGGGGAUAACUAGUCGAAAGAUUAGCUAAUACCGCAUACGACCUGAGGGUGAAAGUGGGGGACCGCAAGGCCUCAUGCUAUAGGAGCGGCCGAUGUCUGAUUAGCUAGUUGGUGGGGUAAAGGCCCACCAAGGCGACGAUCAGUAGCUGGUCUGAGAGGACGAUCAGCCACACUGGGACUGAGACACGGCCCAGACUCCUACGGGAGGCAGCAGUGGGGAAUUUUGGACAAUGGGCGUAAGCCUGAUCCAGCAAUGCCACGUGUGUGAAGAAGGCCUUCGGGUUGUAAAGCACUUUUGUCCGGAAAGAAAUGGCUCUGGUUAAUACCUGGGGUCGAUGACGGUACCGGAAGAAUAAGGACCGGCUAACUACGUGCCAGCAGCCGCGGUAAUACGUAGGGUCCAAGCGUUAAUCGGAAUUACUGGGCGUAA
rnacentral:rRNA from 1 species